AUCCUACGGGAGGCAGCAGUGGGGAAUAUUGGGCAAUGGGCGCAAGCCUGACCCAGCAACGCCGCGUGAAGGAAGAAGGCUUUCGGGUUGUAAACUUCUUUUAAGAGGGAAGAGCAGAAGACGGUACCUCUUGAAUAAGCCACGGCUAACUACGUGCCAGCAGCCGCGGUAAUACGUAGGUGGCAAGCGUUGUCCGGAUUUACUGGGUGUAAAGGGCGUGUAGCCGGAUUGACAAGUCAGAUGUGAAAUCCUGCGGCUUAACCGCAGAACUGCAUUUGAAACUGUUGAUUUUGAGUACUGGAGAG
rnacentral:rRNA from 1 species